UGAGCUAAACUAUCACACUAGCUGAAAGCCAUAGCAAACUACCUCAUAUGAUAGAACUAUCCAAUUAGAUAAUAUUUACCCGCUAUUAGGACUCUCCCUAUUUUAGGACAAAAGGAACAUACUUGCUUUCACCUUACUCUGUUUAUAUUUUUAAAUUUUUUAAAUAACAUGAGGGUAAUUUUGAAUCAUACAGUCAGGAUGAUCUAAACACCUUCCUACUUUGAUAGUUGUAUAGAUAUUGCCACGCCAGCAGUAUAAUUCCAAAUUACCUGAAUUUAUUCUGCUAAUGUCUUCCCUCCACAGGAAUUAUAAAUUGGAGUCUGUAGAGGAUAAACGAAAAUUUUAAUAUGGCAUCCUCGAGUCAGUCGACUGAAGGAGUUCCAAGGCAGGAACAG
rnacentral:misc_RNA from 1 species